UGGAAGUUGUCAUUGUAAAAUUCUUGCAAACUAAAAUAGGGUCUGAUCGUGAGAAGUUGUUUUGUAUAUUUUCUAAAGCUGUCAAUACUAUUGUGGCUAUUUCUAAAAUGAGACGUUAAAGUACUGAAUCUAGCAGACUAGAGUUACAUACCCCCCAGAAAGGAAUGGCAUAUUUCAGUUGAGAUUCAAUUAAUGCAUAAUAUAAUAUGCGUUCAUAGCCGUUGCAGUAUCAAGAUCCCUUGAAAUAAUUCUUAUUGCAUAGCACCCUGAGGAGAUUUUAUUCUUCAAUUGGUUGACGUGUGCAUCAAACUUCAAUUUACUGUCAGUAUAAAAGCCCAAAAAUUUUGUGCAA